rfam:Sugiyamaella lignohabitans strain CBS 10342 chromosome B, complete sequence.
GGGGUAGUAGCUCAGUGGUAGAGCGUUCGCUUCGCACUCAUUAGAGCUCCGUAAGGAGGUGACUGCGAAAUGUCCCCGGUUCAAUCCCGGGCUGCUCCA